UACGUAGGUGGCAAGCGUUGUCCGGAUUUACUGGGCGUAAAGAGCGCGCAGGCGGUCGUUCAAGUCGAGUGUGAAAGCCCCCGGCUCAACUGGGGAGGGUCACUCGAUACUGAUCGACUCGAAGGCAGAAGAGGGAAGCGGAAUUCCCGGUGUAGUGGUGAAAUGCGUAGAUAUCGGGAGGAACACCAGUGGCGAAGGCGGCUUUCUGGUCUGCUCUUGACGCUGAGGCGCUAAAGCUAGGGUAGCAAACGGG
rnacentral:rRNA from 1 species